AAAGCUACCUUGAAGUCCUGACAGAGUUCAUGAAGAAGGAGUGUGUGGCCAGGCUGUGCUUCCUUAACUCCAGCUGGACGUGUGUAGACACACAGGAGUCUCAGAGUAAGAAGAACAUCGUAAAAGCCUGGAAGCUUUGUUCUGGGCGGGAGAAAAUGGUCUAUUGAAAAACAAGCCAACAUCACUCUGGGCCUUGAAGCUUGACCAUGUCAUUUAUGGAGUGAUACAGUCACGCUGUAAAUGACCAGAGACAUUCCAGAGUUCAUGACUGUUGUGUAACAACAACACUUCAAGGGUGGCUGCAGGCACGAGGCACAACACGCCCGCCCAGUACAGAGAAUGGGAGGAACCCUCCCCCUGGAAUGUGGCUUUGCUCCAAGGCCAGCCCUCCCCGCCCCCCAUCCCAGCCACUAAGCGAUGGGGGCGGGAAACUGGACAGACUGGAGGGACGACUCUAUUUUCAGGGAAUGGCAAAUUGAUUGUGCUGAUUGGGUGAGAGUACUGACCUGCCUCCUGUGUUGGCUCUGAGGAAAACCUACUGGGAGGAUGUGCCUUGUAUGAGGAAGUGGUGCAGUGCAGCAAGAGCCCAAACAACCUGCCACCAGUGAGGACUGCAACCCAGGCUCCAUUAGAACCCCGGGAUGGGGCAAGAGGCCCUCUCCUCUCCAUGGUCCUACAGCCAGCAGGCUGCUGGAGAGGACGCUCCCUUCCACAGAGCGAGAGGAGACAAGAUGGCAGCUCUAAAUUACAUGUGCAACAACCCAGGAGGCUUGUAAACAUUUAAGGAGUUGAUUGUUAUUUUCAUUCCUGACCGCUUUGGUGGUGCCAAUAACAACUUCAUAAAACUGCAGUGGUCCAGCCUGUGUGCUGAGGACAGGCAUUUGUGAUCCCUAGCCGGUGAUGAAUAUUCAUAGCAGAGUGAGUCUGAACUGCUCCCCAGAUACGGAGGCUGGCGUGUGAGCUAGGAACAGUCUUGGUAUGGAAAUCAAGUUUAUAGAUUUAACAGAAGAAAAGCACUCAUAAUCAAGAAAUGUCACUGCACAGGGGUUGAAGGGGGAGGCCAAAGGGGAGCUUCACCGGCUUGGAGUUUCAGCUUUGCAUGAUGAAAAUGUUUUCAAGAGCAGUACACAACAACGUGAAGAUACUGAACACUACUAAACUACACUAAA